AGGACGAACGCUGGCGGCGUGCUUAACACAUGCAAGUCGAACGGAAAGCGCUCUUUGGAGUGACUCGAGUGGCGAACGGGUGAGUAACACGUGGGUGAUCUGCCCUGCACUCUGGGAUAAGCCUGGGAAACUGGGUCUAAUACUGGAUAUGACCGCAUGCUGCAUGGUGUGUGGUGGAAAGCUUUUGCGGUGUGGGAUGGGCCCGCGGCCUAUCAGCUUGUUGGUGGGGUGAUGGCCUACCAAGGCGACGACGGGUAG
rnacentral:rRNA from 1 species